AGAAGCAAGCUGGUAGGCAGCGGGUCCCUGGGGCCGGCAAGCUCUCUCUGGGCCCUGAACAGAAUAUCCUCCGAUAAGAUCCCCCCAGCCCACUCAUGGCUACCCACCCACACCGGCCAAGUGUCACGGAAGGAAUGCAGUGGCAGCUGGGCCCCGAUCACAAGACAGAAACACCCAGGACACGUUCCCAAGCAAUGAGCCCAGGUUCUCAGAGGGCACACACUCUGGGAACUCUGGUUGGAACCUGUGACUCUCCAGGCCCCAGGAGUUAAUGGGAUUCUCCGAAUCAGACCCUCCGUGGAUCUUCCAAGCCUGUGAUUUCCACAGUGUGCCUUAGAAUCAUCUGGGGCUUGUCAAAACCAAAGGCAUCCCGGGCUUACCAGCUGGUCUGGGGUAGGACCAGGAAUCUUCAUUCUGGCCAGGUCCCAGGUUGCUGGGACACCGGUUCCAGAAUAAGACUUUGAGAAACACUGGUCGAACAGCAUGUGAAGCCCAAUGGAGACGGCUUCAAAUCCCCACCCGAUCUGUUGCCUUCGCGGAUGUACAGAACUUGACCACCCAAAGGAAGUCGCAAGCUCGUGGACAGAGGAGACCUCAGCUUACCUCUUUCUGUAUCCAGCCCCAGUGCUCCAAGACCUCACCCAUUAAGUUCUCACUGAUUGUCAAAACUCCCUAAGAUUCCUGGAGGAGGAGUCCCCCCUCUGAAAAUCUACAACCCAGCCAUGAUGGGGAGACUUGCUUUCUUAUUCUAUUACCAGCAUGAUCAAGCAGCAUUACCUUGCUGGGAUAGGAUGGAAUUCUGUCCCCUCUCCUCCCUUCAUCUACCAUUGGGGGAACUUUGCCAUCAGGGUCCCUCUCUGGGAGGAGGUAGAAAUAAUCACCAGGGCUCCUGACUUUCCUGCCCAGUCUCCAGCGGCCACACACAGGCUGCCCAUUGCAAGACGACACGUGUGUUGGCAUGGUUUUACCUCUGCGUUAGUGAGUUUGAAUUUGGAAUUCCAAUCUGAUUGACUAAGUAACUUUUUACUCUAAUUAGAACGGUAGGGUUUGUUCUUAGUCGGCAACCAUUUAAUCUUCUGUCUCAUCAAUUGUACAAAGGUCUUUAUGAAUAUGUAGAUUGGGAAGGGAAUAAAAGAUUAUUUGACCUUGAAGAAACACAUAUAAAAUAGGUGUACACUCUCCCGGUCUCCCACUCCCUUUUAUUAUGCAGAUGCAAAAAUUGGUUCAGCUUCAAAUCAGGCUAUUGUGGGUUAUCGGCAAUCUUGCAGCCAAUUAGGAUGCAACAUUCUGAUGAGCCAGAGGAGUUUAAUAAUUAGAAUAGUAUUCACAUGCGAGCUGCUUGCUGUGAAUUUGCAUGUAAAUAAAAACGGGGCUAUCAAAACCCAACAGAAACAGCCCACGGAUGAAGCCAAUUUCCAAAGGGUCAAAUGUGAAAAAGGAAAUAGGUCUGCGGAGGAACAGGAGAGUGUCACAGGCAGAAAGUGGAGGCCUUUAUGAAGAACACGUGCUUUCGGGUCAAUGGCCUUCUGAACAUACCUCCCUUCUUCCCUUUUAGUGUCCUCUUCGAGCUGGUUAGCUGGUUAAGAUCCUAGCCCGACCACCAACAGGCUGGGACCUCCUCACGUCUCAAUGUCCUUGUCUGGAUGGGACAUUCUUACCUUCCCCCAGGCCAGUGAGGCUCAAGUUAAAUGGGAUUGUAUGUGGAGCUCCUAGCAUACAAACACUGCCCAUAAAAUAUCCAUUUUAAAAUUUCCUUUCUGGGGCGCCUGGGUGGCUCAGUGGGUUUAAGCCUCUGCCUUCGGCUCAAGUCAUGAUCCCAGGGUCCUGGAAUCAAGUCCCGAAUCGGGCUCUCUGCUCGGCGGGGAGCCUGCUUCUCUCUCUCUCUCUUUCUCUCUGCCUGUUUCUCUGCCUACUUGUGAUCUCAG